UGUGUAGGCGGUCUUGUAAGUCAGCAGUGAAAGCUCCGGGCUAAACUCGGAAACGGUUGCUGAUACUACCGGACUUGAGGGCAGGAGAGGAGGUUGGAACUUUCGGUGUAGCGGUAGAAUGCGUAGAUAUCGAAAGGAACGCCGAUAGCGAAGGCAAGCCUCUGGAAUGUUCCUGACGCUGAAACACGAAAGCUGGGGGAGCAAACAGGAUUAGAUACCCUGGUAGUCCCAGCCGUAAACGAUGUUCACUAGGUGUUGCUCGCAAGGGCAGUACCGGAGCUAACGCGUUAAGUGAACCGCCUGGGGACUACGGCCGCGAAGGUUGAA
rnacentral:rRNA from 1 species